rfam:Lactobacillus apodemi DSM 16634 = JCM 16172 strain DSM 16634 NODE_187, whole genome shotgun sequence.
CCACAACUGCAACCGCACGUUUUAAGUUUAAGCGCUCACUAUGAGCCACUACAUUACGGCGAGUCUAAGUAAAUUA